GACGAACGCUGGCGGCGUGCCUAAUACAUGCAAGUCGAACGAGAGCAACCGGUGCUUGCACUGGUCAAUCUAGUGGCGAACGGGUGAGUAACACGUGGGUAACCUGCCCAUCAGAGGGGGAUAACAUCCGGAAACGGAUGCUAAAACCGCAUAGGUCUUCGAACCGCAUGGUUUGAAGAGGAAAAGAGGCGCAAGCUUCUGCUGAUGGAUGGACCCGCGGUGCAUUAGCUAGUUGGUGAGGUAACGGCUCACCAAGGCCGUGAUGCAUAGCCGACCUGAGAGGGUGAUCGGCCACAUUGGGACUGAGACACGGCCCAAACUCCUACGGGAGGCAGCAGUAGGGAAUCUUCCGCAAUGGACGCAAGUCUGACGGAGCAACGCCGCGUGAGUGAAGAAGGGUUUCGGAUCGUAAAACUCUGUUGUUAGAGAAGAACAAGUGCUAGAGUAACUGUUAGCGCCUUGACGGUAUCUAACCAGAAAGCCACGGCUAACUACGUG
rnacentral:rRNA from 1 species